GAUGAACGCUGGCGGCGUGCCUAAUACAUGCAAGUCGAGCGAACAGAUGAGGAGCUUGCUCCUCUGACGUUAGCGGCGGACGGGUGAGUAACACGUGGAUAACCUACCUAUAAGACUGGGAUAACUUCGGGAAACCGGAGCUAAUACCGGAUAAUAUAUUGAACCGCAUGGUUCAAUAGUGAAAGACGGUUUUGCUGUCACUUAUAGAUGGAUCCGCGCCGCAUUAGCUAGUUGGUAAGGUAACGGCUUACCAAGGCAACGAUGCGUAGCCGACCUGAGAGGGUGAUCGGCCACACUGGAACUGAGACACGGUCCAGACUCCUACGGGAGGCAGCAGUAGGGAAUCUUCCGCAAUGGGCGAAAGCCUGACGGAGCAACGCCGGGUGAGUGAUGAAGGUCUUCGGAUCGUAAAACUCUGUUAGUAGGGAAGAACAAAUGUGUAAGUAACUAUGCACGUCUUGACGGUACCUAAUCAGAAAGCCACGGCUAACUACGUG
rnacentral:rRNA from 1 species